UACGUAGGGUGCGAGCGUUGUCCGGAUUUAUUGGGCGUAAAGAGCUCGUAGGCGGUUUGUCGCGUCGGCCGUGAAAUCUCCACGCUUAACGUGGAGCGUGCGGUCGAUACGGGCAGACUUGAGUUCGGUAGGGGAGACUGGAAUUCCUGGUGUAGCGGUGAAAUGCGCAGAUAUCAGGAGGAACACCGGUGGCGAAGGCGGCAUCCUGGACCGACAUUGACGCUGAGGCGCGAAAGCCAGGGGAGCAAACGGG
rnacentral:rRNA from 1 species